CACUCCUGGGGACGGGAAAGGGUUUGACAGGUCACAGGGAGCAUCUGCUCACCUGAAGCAGAGGCUGCACCUUAAGUGACUGGAAGGAAAGAAAGAGCCAGAGAACCAGCCUGACCGAGCACUGUCUGCAUGGGAGAGAAAGCGAAGCUUCCGAGUAUUCCAACAUCCUGGGCGGUGGAGGAGCCAGACAUGACACCAGGUCCUGACUCACUGGCCAGCCCUGAGCCCCCAGUGUCACAUGGAAGGGAAACACAUCUCUGUUACAGUUCCCAAGCCUGCUCUGAGGAACGGUGUCUGGACACCAAGGCCCUGAGGAGCCUCUGAACAACAAAGCAGCAACGUUCUCCUCGGAUGCCAAACACGUGGUGAUGAGUUCACUGUCCCUGGUCCUUUCUCACAGUCCCUCACGGACAGCUCAGAGCCGGCCUCACACCACACAGCCUGAUUUCACCAAGGCCGUGUCUGCCUCUUCUCCACCAGCACAAUCAAAAUCUCAGCAGCCGCCGGCCACGGCUCGCGGCUCCUGCCCCGAGCCCAUGUUGAGUGGGUCCUCUCUCCCUCCGGUCUGGACCAAAGUGACCCCAGAGAGGCCCCCUGGGAAGGCCAGCGACCCCUCCCCACACCUUCCUGCCUUCUCCGAGGCCUGGGCUGGUCACCACUUCUACCUCUAUGUGAGGAUGGGGAAACGCCUCUGCCCAACGCCGAGAAGUCUCCUCAUCAAGCAAAUGGCAAUGUGAUCGAAGGGCCUUUUGUAUCUGCAGCGUAUCUGUGCUGCCUCCAACCUUUCAUGAUGUCUCAUCACGGAGAACUGGUGACUACUUCUGGUGGGAUAUUCCUGAGCCCUAUUUGGGCAUCUAGACAGAGUCAGGUUUUAGCGGGAGAAAAGCUGAAUACCCUGUCCCUUAUUGUUCAAUUAGUCUGCCAAUAAUUCAUUCAGCAUCUACUAUGUGCCAGGCAUUGUUCUAGGCUUUCGGGAUGUGAGAAGGGAUAAAACAUACAAACAUCCUGGCCAUCAUGGAGCUUGCAGAUAAGGGAGCAGAUCGGGCACGUUAGAAAGGAGUGGAAGUUAACGGCCAGGCAUGACUGGCCUAGAAGACUCUUCAGCGAAAGCGGCACGCUCUUCUUUCAGUAACACACCCCGAGGGGCCACCCCUUCCCCAGAGAAGACCCCCCCCAGGCCUUCGAGGUCAUGCCCAUGGCAAAAGACAAACCUGGAGCCUCGCUGGAUGAGGGAAGGGAGUUUGCUCUGCAUGGACCAAGUGGCGAUAAUGGCUGGAGGUCUUUUUAUAAGAAUUUCGAACCCUUAUUCCCCUCUCCUUGUUUUUGGCAAACUAGUUUUGAUUGACAAGCAAGGAUCCGCACACGGAUGUAUCUCCCUUCUGCUGGGAUCCUCUCGGUCGAGUGCGUGUGGGAAGAAAUAAGAGCGUCCCUAAAAACUACAUCUAACCCAAUGGUCUCCCUCAAUAAACAGAAUUCAGUGAUCUAAAAUGAUUUUCAGGAGUUCGCACUGUGGCACAGUGAGUUCAGGAUCUGAAUGCAGAAGCUUGAGUCACUAUAGAUGUGUGGGUUCGAUCCCCAGCCCGACGCAGUGUGUUAAAAGAUCC